AGAAUAGUGGAAGUCUGAUUAGCAGUCUCAAAUUGCAGUCACUCCUUCACUUUUCUUUCCAAAAGGCAGUGGUAGACACCAUUUCCUUGGGUCCUGAAAAAGCUUGUACAAGGGAAACCCAUUUAGGAGCAGCCAGAUUCAGCAACUCUUUCUGAAGAGGAUGAAGACGGAGAAGCUACUCAUGGUACCAGUGCUGAUCAUAUGGAUGCAAGUAUCACAAGUGAAUGGACAACAGAUACAGCAAAUUCCUCCAUCCCUGCUCCUACAAGAAGGAGAGAACUUCACCACAUACUGCAAUUCCUCAAGCACUUUCAAUAGCUUCCAGUGGUAUAAGCAGAGGCCUGGGGGAAGUCCUGUUCUCUUGAUAAUAUUGCUUAGCGGUGGAGAAGUGCAGAAGCAGGAAAGGCUGGCAGCUCAGUUUGGAGAGACUAGAAAGCACAGCUCCCUGCACAUCACGGCCGCUCAGACUGCAGAUGUGGGAACCUAUUUCUGCGCAGGGGCACAGAGCUCUCGAAGCACCUGCUGCCUGUCCCCAAACCUUGCUGUGGGCUCCAGGAGCAGCUCCUCCUUAUCUCUCCUCAAAGCAGGAGUAAGAGAAAGCUUAAGUCACAAUGUCCAUGAAAAACUUAAAUUUGUAAUUAAAAAAAUUGUCAAGCUCUGAUGGUUUGGUUGGAGAAAUGUUUGAAGAAUUAGCAUGAAUUCUACAAACUUUCUUCUGGAAAAUACCAAGAAGAAAAUAAUUCCUAACUCAUUUUACAAUGCUAGUAUUACCCCGAUACUAAAAUCAGACAAAGACCAUGCAAAAAAGAAAACUACAAAUUCCCCUCAUGAAUAUAG